CCCUUAGAUGUUCUGGGCCGCACACGCGCUACACUGAAGGAGGCAGCGUGUACUCCUGGAUCGAAAGAUUUGGGUAACCCGCGAAUCUCCUUCGUGCUAGGGAUUGAGGUUUGCAAUUAUCCUUCAUGAACGAGGAAUUCCCAGUAAGUGCAAGUCAUAAGCUUGCGCUGACUACGUCCCUGCCCUUUGUACACACCGCCCGUCGCUACUACCGAUUGAAUGAUUUAGUGAGGACUUCGGACUGGGACCGAUGCGGCUUUCGGGCUGCGUCGGUAUUCUGGAAAGAUGUCCAAACUGUAUCAUUUAGAGGAAGCAAAAGUCGUANCA
rnacentral:rRNA from 1 species